GUACUCGCCUGAGCAGCACAUAUAAUAUUAAAAUUGGAACAGUACAGAGAAGAUUAGCAUGGCCCCUGUUCAAGGAUGACAUGGAGCAUUCCAUAAAAGAAGAAAGGGAGA